rnacentral:rRNA from 1 species
CCUACGGGAUGCACCAGUGGGGAAUAUUGCACAAUGGGCGCAAGCCUGAUGCAGCCAUGCCGCGUGUAUGAAGAAGGCCUUCGGGUUGUAAAGUACUUCCAGCGGGGAGGAAGGUGUUGUGGUUAAUAACCGCAGCAAUUGACGUUACCAACAGAAGAAGCACCGGCUAACUCCGUGCCAGCAGCCGCGGUAAUACGGGGGGUGCAAGCGUUAAUCGGAAUUACUGGGCGUAAAGCGCACGCAGGCGGUUGAUUAAGUUAGAUGUGAAAUCCCCGGGCUUAACCUGGGAAUGGCAUCUAAGACUGGUCAGCUAGAGUCUUGUAGAGGGGGGUAGAAUUCCAUGUGUAGCGGUGAAAUGCGUAGAGAUGUGGAGGAAUACCGGUGGCGAAGGCGGCCCCCUGGACAAAGACUGACGCUCAGGUGCGAAAGCGUGGGGAGCAAACAGGAUUAGAUACCCGUGUAGUC